UAGCAGCACAUCAUGGUUUACA
rnacentral:ncRNA from 30 species